rnacentral:rRNA from 1 species
CGGAGGGAGCUAGCGUUGUUCGGAAUUACUGGGCGUAAAGCGCACGUAGGCGGCGAUUUAAGUCAGAGGUGAAAGCCCGGGCUCAACCCCGGAACUGCCUUUGAGACUGGAUUGCUUGAAUCCUGGAGAGGUGAGUGGAAUUCCGAGUGUAGAGGUGAAAUUCGUAGAUAUUCGGAAGAACACCAGUGGCGAAGGCGGCUCACUGGACAGGUAUUGACGCUGAGGUGCGAAAGCGUGGGGAGCAAACAGGAUU